rnacentral:lncRNA from 1 species
AGCCCAUUGGAUAGUACACAUCAUUGUGUUCUGCUCCACAGGGCCACCAUAGGAAACCUGCACAGCAGGCGGCUGCCAUCAUUUGAGUGCACUGGAGAAAAGCUGGUGUAAAAGAACCACUGGGGGGGAACUGAGAGCAUGUGCAAGGUAGCACUUGUAGCACAGCCUUAACAUGCAGCUGUGCAGUCAGAGCCUUACACUCAGCCCAGAAGUAGGGUCACCCCACUGCUCUUCCCAUCAGCCGCAGUAGCAGAUUUACUGUAGCCCACAUUCAGCAAUGGAAAUCUGCUUUAGCAGGGGGUUUGGCUUGGUGAUCUCUAGAGGUCCCUUCCAGCCCCUACAAUUCUGUGAUUCUGUGANAUCGCAUAAAUCCACCAGCUCCAGUCAAAGCCCGGGUGCAAUUUUAAUGGGCAAAAAACGUCGUGGGAGGAGAGCACUUGGAGAUGGGUGUGGAGUUCCAUGCAGAAUUCAGCUUGCAACAAAAAGCCGGUAUCCCAAACUCACUGUGUGCUUGAAGAAGUGGGGAUAAGGAAACAGAUGGCUUACUCAAUGUCCCAGAAGGAACUGGCAACAGAAUAGAGUAACAAAAGUAGGUAUUUUCACUCUUAUUCCAGCUCUCAGAUGACCUAGCCAUCCUGGCUAGUGUUGGCACAGGCAUGCAGAGACUUUGCAGAACACUGCAGGUUUGAAGGCUACUGAGGCACGCUGGCAGCAAUGCUGUGAUGUGGCCCCUGGAAGGGCAAUUAGUCCUAAUAGAUGGUGACAGAGGGGUGUCCUUGAGACCCUUAUCAAACUGAGAAAACCUGCUCUGGAGGCUUUUCUUCCUGCUCUUGCACUGCUGACCAAGUGUGCUUAGCUCCUCCUGGGCAGAACACUGACAUAUCACUCCAGCCACAUCACUGCCAUGCGAGCUGACAAAACACUAUUUUUACUCCCUGCCCAGUUAUUCAGGUCAAGAGAAGAUUCAAGAUCACUCACAUAUGCAAGAAGCUUUUUCCGACUCAGUGGGAUUUGCAUGAAGGCACAGUGCCCAGGAGAACAGGGGGUCAGUGUGGGGUCAGCUGCCUGUGCUGACACCGGCAGAGGCAGAAGCAGUUUUCAGAAGCACGAAGGUGUUUGGG